CGGGUGUGGAAGGAGGCGGGGCAAAGGUCCACGGGACCGACGCGAUGCGCAGCGCAGGGCUGGAAGCGCAGUCCUCUGUCACCUUGAGCUCCGAGGCUGCAUUCCCCGUGGUAUCCAAUUCAGCCUCUCCUGCUUCCUGAGUUCUCUGCAGUGAUGCAAAAUCAGAUAAGGAAACGCACCUCGUCUAGGAAGCAAGGGGAAAUAUGACAAAGCACACAGAAACUAGAAAUAAAAGUCAAAAAUCUACACCAUCGAACCCAAAUAAUCUUCUUCAGUUUUAAUGAUGGACCCAAACCAAAACAGUUCUCACGUUCACAUGUUAGAAACUAACUCCAUCUGCAUCACUUACGAUAGGCUGUAGUAAACUGAACCAAAUAAGAAAAAUCCCAGCAGCAAACUUGCUGACAAAACUUUAGCCGAUUGCCAGGGUAGUCCGGUACAGGAACGUCAAAUGAAACCAAUGUGCUGUAAAUAAACCUUUAUUGUAUUUUGUGAUACGGUUUGAAUUUAAAUCCCUAGGUAGCGCCACGAAACAAAAGACAUAUUGAUGCUACUGCCAUGGAGCAGCACAGUUUGUCUAGAAAAUAAACGAGACGAAACAGUAGUCUAGAAGUAGGCACCAAAUCCAAGUUUUCAUGUGCGAUCCAGGUAUCAGGGUCCAUCCAGGAACAGCCUGCUGGAAUUGCUAGCCUGGCAUUCACAGAAGAUUGUGCCACCCAGGAGGAAUGUGUUUUCAGCCCUGAAAUUCCUGGGAGUGAGAGGUGAAGCCAGCUGGAUUUCUGGGUUGGGUGGGGACUUGGAGAACUUUUCUUACAAGAGGAUUGUAAAAUGCACCAAUCAGCACUCUGUAGCUAGCUAGAGUUUUGUAAAAUGCACCAAUCAGUGCUCUGUAAAAAUGCACCUAUCAGCACUCUGUAGGUAGCUAGAGGUUUGUAAAAUGGACCAAUCAGCACUCUGUAAAAUGGACCAAUCAGCAGGGCAUGGGCAGGGACAAAUAAGCCAAUAAAAACUGGCCACCCCAGCCUGCAGGGGCAGCCUGCUUGGGUCCUUUUCCACAUUGUGGAAGCUUUGUUCUUUUGCUCUUCACAAUAAAUCUUGCUGCUGCUCAGUCUUUGGGUUUG
rnacentral:lncRNA from 1 species